rnacentral:rRNA from 1 species
GACGAACGCUGGCGGCGUGCUUAACACAUGCAAGUCGAACGGUGACGGAGAGCUUGCUCUCCUGAUCAGUGGCGAACGGGUGAGUAACACGUGGGCAACCUGCCCAGACUUCGGGAUAACGCUUCGAAAGAGGUGCUAAUACCGGAUACGAGCUCCUUGGGCAUCCUUGGAGUUGGAAAGUUUUUCGGUCUGGGAUGGGCCCGCGGCCUAUCAGCUAGUUGGUGAGGUAACGGCUCACCAAGGCGACGACGGGUAGCCGGCCUGAGAGGGCGACCGGCCACACUGGGACUGAGACACGGCCCAGACUCCUACGGGAGGCAGCAGUGGGGAAUAUUGCGCAAUGGGCGAAAGCCUGACGCAGCAACGCCGCGUGAGGGAUGACGGCCUUC